rnacentral:rRNA from 1 species
CCUACGGGAGGCUGCAGUGGGGAAUAUUGCGCAAUGGGCGAAAGCCUGACGCAGCGACGCCGCGUGAGGGAUGAAGGUCUUCGGAUCGUAAACCUCUGUCAGCAGGGAAGAACGGUCACUGUGCUAAUCAGCAGUGAAUUGACGGUACCUGCAAAGGUAGCACCGGCUAACUCCGUGCCAGCAGCCGCGGUAAUACGGAGGGGUGGAGCGUUAAUCGGAAUUACUGGGCGGAAAGCGCUCGUAGGCGGGAUGUCAAGUCAAGGGUGAAAUCCCCGCGCUCAACGUGGGAAGUGCCUUUGAAACUGGCAAACUGGAGUGUGGGAGAGGAUAGUGGAAUUCCAGGUGUAGGAGUGAAAUGCGUAGAUAUCUGGAGGAACAUCAGUGGCGAAGGCGACUAUCUGGCACAUAACUGACGCUGAGGAGCGAAAGCGUGGGUAGCAAACAGGAUUAGAUACCCCAGUAGUC